rnacentral:rRNA from 1 species
AUUGAACGCUUGCGGCAGGCCUAACACAUGCAAGUCGAACGAGUGGCGGACGGGUGAGUAAUGUCUGGGAAACUGCCCGAUGGAGGGGGAUAACUACUGGAAACGGUAGCUAAUACCGCAUACCAUCGGAUGUGCCCAGCUGGGAUUAGCUAGUAGGUGGUGUAACGGCUCACCUAGGCGCCGAUCCCUAGCUGGUGUGAGAGGAUGACCAGCCACACUGGUACUGAGAAACGGUCCAGACUCCUACGUGAUGCAGCAGUGGGGAAUAUUGCAAAAUGGGCGCAAGCCUGAUGCAGCCAUGCCGCGUGUAUGAAGAAGGCCUUCGGGUUGUAAAGUACUAUCAGUGAGGAGGAGUUACUCGCAGAAGAAGCACCGGCUAACUCCGUGGCAGCCGACGCGGUAAUUC